rnacentral:rRNA from 1 species
AAAUUUAAAUUGCUGUGGUAUUUUGACUAUACAAAGGUAUUGUAAUAAGAUUUUAAUUGAAUGCUAAAAGAAUGGAAAUUUAAAAAAAAACUUUUUUAAAAAUAAAAAUUGAAUUUUUUUUAAUUUGUGCAAAAACAAUUAUACUUAUUAAAGACAAGAAGACCCUAAGAAUUUAAGAUUUUACAAUUAAAAAGUUUUUUUUUUAAAAUCUUGAUUGGGGCGAUCAAAAAAUAUUAAUAACUUUUUAAAAUUUAAAUUGAUCUAUUAUUAAUAAACUAAUGAAUUAAAUACUCUAGGGAUAACAGCGUAAUAAUUUUUGAUAGAUCUUAUUGACAAAAUAGUUUGCGACCUCGAUGUUGGAUUAGGAUUCUUUUUUAAUGAAGAAGUUAAAAAAAGAAGUUUGUUCAACUUUUAAAUUCCUACUUGAUUGAA